CCUACGGGAGGCAGCAGUGGGGAAUAUUGGACAAUGGGCGAAAGCCUGAUCCAGCAGUGCCGCGUGAGUGAUGAAGGCCUUAGGGUUGUAAAGCUCUUUUACCCGGGAUGAUAAUGACAGUACCGGGAGAAUAAGCUCCGGCUAACUCCGUGCCAGCAGCCGCGGUAAU
rnacentral:rRNA from 1 species